GAAACGUAAAUCAUCUCAGAAUUAACCAGAGAACAAUAUCACAAAAUCACAAUCUUGCAGCAUACAUGUCAAAAACUCACUAUGAGAUUUAUACACUUUAGCAUGUUAGUUGUUCCAGUGGAAGCAUGUUAAAGCUGCAGAAAAGAAUCAGCAUCGCACACACCUUCAGUUCUCGGUACGAUUUUUU